GUGCCGAAGUCUUGCUGUGUAACCAGUAAUAACUGUACCAAUACACAUCUGCCGUUGAAUCUGAACCAGACCACUGCCAGCAUUUAUGUGGAGGGCUGUCACCUAAAGAUAGUGUCAGGGAUGGAGGGUAACAUUGCUAUCAUUGGAUCUGCUGUGCUUGGAUUCUCAUUCCUACAGUUACUGGGCUCUGUCCUGGCUUGUUGUCUUGGUAAAGGCAUCAACAAGGCCAAGUAUGAACAAGUGGCAUAAGGCAAGAACUGCCUUGAAUUACUAACUGAAAAACUGGACAAGUUCGUAGAGGUUACUUCCAUAAUUUGGAACUUUUUUCCUUCUUGCCCGUUGAAAAUCAUUAUGUAAAAUCAAAUUGUUUAGAUAUAGUUUGGAGCUAUAUGAAAUUUAUCAAGAGGAAUAACAAAAUAUAUUGAGAACAACCACAAUAAAUGGAAGAAAAGAGUGGUAUAAUACAAUUCAUUUUAUUACAUUAAUUCAUGUUAUAUAAUUUACAUGUAUUCUUUUAUUUUGUCAGAAGUUGAUAAGGUCCAAGAUAGAAAGUUGACAUUCAGUUACAAAUAUUCUAGUCCCAAACAUGAGCACAAGGUCUGUUUUCUUUACACUGAAAAAGUCGACGUCCAACAUACCAGAAUCAAAAUCUGCAUAGAGCUGUAUUUAGACCAGGGCCAACUUAGACCAGACAUAGACUGAAUGAUGUCACAAAACCAGAUUUCCGUACAUCUUCUGAAAUGUUUACCUUGUCAUGCAGCCAGGCAGGCCUCAAGUAGUAGAUUUAAUUUUCUUUAUUCUUAUUCUUCAUCUGACCUCUUGCAAAUAAGCAAUUUUUGCCUCAGGUUCCAUUGGCAUGAGUGAAAGUUUUCAGGGUACCCUAGUAAAGCUUAAUUUUAGGAUUUUCUGUCUUAAUUUCGAUCAUUUUCUUUAUAUGGUCUAAAUGCAAUGAGAAAUUGCGUGGUAUGUUUUCUGGA